rnacentral:sRNA from 1 species
GAAGCGCUGAUGUUAGCUGUUAGAUGUACAAUCAAAGUCGCCACGAAAAAAAAAAGAAAACCAAAAUAAGAAAUGUGACUCUAAAGAAAGUCAGUGAAUAGAGGGACUGGAGCGGGGGAGGAAUUCAAAUUGAGUUCUGGUAUCUGCUACUAUCAGUGGACACCCACUGACGGUCGUCGAAAAGUCUAAAGGUCAAACAUAUAGAAAUAAUAUGCAAAGUCCAAGUCUAAAGAAGGAAUUAAUUGCUUGAAAUCACGAGUAUCAGAUAAAUUAAAAAAUGCUCUUAAUAAUCGUAAAUCGUAAUGUGUCUUAUAGAUUAUAGUUUCAUAUAAAAUAUGUUUUAAUACGUAAAUUCCACCAACAAUUCUAGAUUACUCUGGAAUACAAUUUUCAGCUGAUGACAAAAUAAAAAUCUUUGGAACGUAUACGAAAAUGUCUGUAGAGGCUAGAACAUUGAAAAAUUGAUUUCUCUGUUCCAACAUAUCCCUAAAAUGAACAUUCUCCAUUUGCAAUUACUCUUCUCAUCGCCGUGUGAUACGUUUUUAUGCCACAUCUGUAUCUUUUAGAUACGCCAUUCGAAACGAAUGCAUUUGUUCGAUAAUGGGAAACCAGUCUGAAACUGGGGUUUAAGACCCUCAAAAGACUAAGAAAAUGUGGACAAGUCUAAGGAUGUUUGAGGCGUGCUUUACAUCUGAUAUUUAGAUUAUUCACAUGGUAUUAUUCUGUGCUUCUAGGCUACCAAAUAAAUCCCCAUUCCGACGACUGUCGACUGUCGGUAUUCAUUUCCCACACCGACCGGCACCGCCAUCAAAAUCGGCCGCUCAGCGCGUGCCGUCGGCAUCUGAAAGGGCAACGCGACGAAAGAAGACACCAAUAUAGCCACGCACACCAAAUCGAAGUAACUGUAAACGAUUUAAGUGGAUGGGCGAGGCGAGCGAGCGAGCGGAGAAGUUGACUCUUUGCACUGACCUGCCCCUCCUUUUCGCUUGCAUGGGGUGGGAGGGGAACUUUGCGAGUGUUGCAGAAAAAUCAUAAAUGCAAACAAUAAAAUUGAAAUAUAUGUACAUACGUAGGUGCACGCUGCACGUAGCAUGCACCCACAGAUGGAGACAGACGAGUAUGAGUGCGAUCAAUUAAACUGAUUGAAUCACUUUUAAAUGAAACUCCUUGGCCGUGUCAGUCAGCGACUCGUCAGUGGGAGGGAGGCAGGGAAUUGCGUGUUGCGCGUGUGUGAGUGUGUGUAUACGAUGAUGUGGAAAGUGAAAAGGGGCUUUGAUCUCGUCUCGCGUCAGGGGGCACAGUGAAGACAAGCAGAUAUGCUCGAAAUUGCAUAUUUUUUAAGAAAUACAUAUAUGUA